UCAUGGCUCAGGACGAACGCUGGCGGCGUGCUUUAGACAUGCAAGUCGAACGGAGUAGCAAUACUCAGUGGCAAACGGCGGAGUAAUACAUAAACAACGUGCCCUGAAGACUGGGAUAGCCAGCCGAAAGGCUGAGUAAUACCAGAUGUGGCCCUUUGAGGACAUCCUCGAAGGAUUAAAUGGUUUUUUCGCUUCAGGAGCGGUUUAUGGCCUAUCAGCUAGUUGGUGGGGUAAUGGCCUACCAAGGCGACGACGGGUAGGGGGUCUGAGAGGAUGAUCCCCCCGAGUGGGACUGAGACACGGCCCACACACCUACGGGUGGCAGCAGUUUGGAAUCUUGCCCAAUGGGGGAAACCCUGAGGCCAGCGACGCCGCGUGGAGGAUGAAGGAUCUAGGUCUGUAAACUCCUUUUAUCGGGAAAGACUUAGGACGGUACCCGAUGAAUAAGCACCGGCUAACUACGUGCCAGCAGCAGC
rnacentral:rRNA from 1 species